rnacentral:rRNA from 8 species
UAGUGGCGAACGGGUGAGUAACACGUGGGCAAUCUGCCCUUCACUCUGGGACAAGCCCUGGAAACGGGGUCUAAUACCGGAUAUCACUCCUGCAGGCAUCUGCGGGGGUCGAAAGCUCCGGCGGUGAAGGAUGAGCCCGCGGCCUAUCAGCUUGUUGGUGAGGUAAUGGCUCACCAAGGCGACGACGGGUAGCCGGCCUGAGAGGGCGACCGGCCACACUGGGACUGAGACACGGCCCAGACUCCUACGGGAGGCAGCAGUGGGGAAUAUUGCACAAUGGGCGAAAGCCUGAUGCAGCGACGCCGCGUGAGGGAUGACGGCCUUCGGGUUGUAAACCUCUUUCAGCAGGGAAGAAGCGAAAGUGACGGUACCUGCAGAAGAAGCGCCGGCUAACUACGUGCCAGCAGCCGCGGUAAUACGUAGGGCGCAAGCGUUGUCCGGAAUUAUUGGGCGUAAAGAGCUCGUAGGCGGCUUGUCACGUCGGGUGUGAAAGCCCGGGGCUUAACCCCGGGUCUGCAUUCGAUACGGGCUAGCUAGAGUGUGGUAGGGGAGAUCGGAAUUCCU